GGGCCCGCACAAGCGGUGGAGCAUGUGGUUUAAUUCGAUGAUACGCGAGGAACCUUACCAGGGCUUAAAUGUAAGUUGCAUAAGCUAGAGAUAGCUUUUUCUUCGGACUACUUACAAGGUGCUGCAUGGUUGUCGUCAGCUCGUGCCGUGAGGUGUCAGGUUAAGUCCUAUAACGAGCGCAACCCCUGUUGUUAGUUGCCAUCGAGUAAUGUCGGGAACUCUAACAAGACUGCCGGUGCAAACCGUGAGGAAGGUGGGGAUGACGUCAAAUCAUCACGGCCCUUACGUCCUGGGCUACACACGUGCUACAAUGGCCGGUACAGAGAGCAGCCACUACGCGAGUAGGCGCGAAUCUUCAAAGCCGGUCUCAGUUCGGAUCGGAGUCUGCAACUCGACUCCGUGAAGCUGGAAUC
rnacentral:rRNA from 1 species